GGAAAAGAGACAACCACCACCCAAGUGUGCCUUGUGAGCACGCUGGAGGCCACAGUCAAGCUGGAUCACCUUUCCCUUCACACCCAUCAACCCAACGAGAGAAGAAAGGCAUUCGUCUACAUGGGCUAUGGGAACGAGAGUGACAUAGUGGUCAAGUUCAGGGAAGACAAGGACACUGACCCAGUGGGACUUCUGAUGGACUGAUCCUGUGCAGGGUGUGAGACAGAACCACA
rnacentral:lncRNA from 1 species